GACGAACCGAGCGAACGUUGUUCGGAAUCACUGGGCUUAAAGGGCGCGUAGGCGGGUAUCCAAGUCUGUGGUGAAAUCCGGCAGCUUAACUGUCGAAUUGCCGUGGAUACUGGGUAUCUCGAGGGAGGCAGGGGUGCGCGGAACUGAUGGUGGAGCGGUGAAAUGCGUUGAUAUCAUCAGGAACUCCGGUGGCGAAGGCGGCGCACUGGUCCUCUUCUGACGCUGAGGCGCGAAAGCCAGGGGAGCAAACGGG
rnacentral:rRNA from 1 species